rnacentral:rRNA from 1 species
AUACGGAGGGUCCGAGCGUUAAUCGGAAUUACUGGGCGUAAAGCGCGCGUAGGUGGUUCAGUCAGUCAGAUGUGAAAGCCCCGGGCUCAACCUGGGAACUGCACCUGAUACUGCUGAGCUAGAGUACGGUAGAGGGCAGUGGAAUUUCCGGUGUAGCGGUGAAAUGCGUAGAGAUCGGAAGGAACACCAGUGGCGAAGGCGACUGCCUGGACUGAUACUGACACUGAGGUGCGAAAGCGUGGGUAGCAAACAGGAUUAGAUACCCUGGUAGUCCACGCCGUAAACGAUGUCAACUAGCCGUUGGGGGACUUGAUCCUUUAGUGGCGAGGCUAACGCGAUAAGUUGACCGCCUGGGGAGUACGGCCGCAAGGUUAAAACUUAAAGGAAUUGACGGG